rnacentral:rRNA from 1 species
CAGAAUGGACCGGAAGAAAAUAGAGGCGGGUCUAUACAUGCAGUCGAGCGAAUCUGAGGGAGCUUGCUCCCAAAGAUUAGCGGCGGACGGGUGAGUAACACGUGGGUAACCUGCCUGUAAGAUUGGGAUAACUCCGGGAAACCGGAGCUAAUACCGGAUAAUAAUUUGAACCGCAUGGUUCAAAUUUGAAAGAUGGCUUCGGCUAUCACUUACAGAUGGACCCGCGGCGCAUUAGCUAGUUGGUGAGGUAACGGCUCACCAAGGCAACGAUGCGUAGCCGACCUGAGAGGGUGAUCGGCCACACUGGGACUGAGACACGGCCCAGACUCCUACGGGAGGCAGCAGUAGGGAAUCUUCCGCAAUGGACGAAAGUCUGACGGAGCAACGCCGCGUGAACGAUGAAGGCCUUCGGGUCGUAAAGUUCUGUUGUUAGGGAAGAACAAGUGCUAGAGUAACUGCUAGCACCUUGACGGUACCUAACCAGAAAGCCACGGCUAACUACGUGCCAGCAGCCGCGGUAAUACGUAGGUGGCAAGCGUUGUCCGGAAUUAUUGGGCGUAAAGCGCGCGCAGGCGGUUUCUUAAGUCUGAUGUGAAAGCCCACGGCUCAACCGUGGAGGGUCAUUGGAAACUGGGGAACUUGAGUGCAGAAGAGGAGAGUGGAAAUUCCACGUGUAGCGGUGAAAUGCGUAGAGAUGUGGAGGAACACCAGUGGGCGAAGCGACUCUCUGGUCUGUAACUGACGCUGAGCGCGAAAGCGGUGGGGGAGCGAACAGGAUUAGAUACCCUGGUAGUCCACGCCGUAACGAUGAGUGCUAAGUGUUAGAGGGUUUCCGCCCCUUUAGUGCUGCAGCAAACGCAUUAAGCACUCCGCCUGGGGGGAGUACGGUCGCAGACUGAAACUCAAAGGAAUUGACGGGGCCCGCCACAAGCGGGUGGGAGCAUGUGAUAGUCGAGCACCGCGGAGCAUCUACAGUCCUGACAUUCGUCGCUACUCCAGAGAAAUGAACGUCCCCUCGGGGACGAUGACGUGAGUCAUGGUGCGUCCAGCUCGGUCUGGAAGUUGGUAGUCCGCGACGAGGCCAACCUUGAAC